rnacentral:rRNA from 1 species
UACGAAGGGGGCUAGCGUUGCUCGGAAUCACUGGGCGUAAAGCGCACGUAGGCGGAUCUUUUAAGUCAGGGGUGAAAUCCCGGAGCUCAACUCCGGAUCUGCGGUGGGUACGGGCAGACUAGAGUGAUGUAGGGGGAGACUGGAAUUCCUGGUGUAGCGGUGAAAUGCGCAGAUAUCAGGAGGAACACCGGUGGCGAAGGCGGGUCUCUGGGCCGAUACUGACGUGAGGAGCGAAAGCAUGGGGGAGCGAACAGG